AGCGAACGCUGGCGGCAGGCCUAACACAUGCAAGUCGAGCGGGCAUCCUUGUGGUGUCUGCGGCCGACGGGUGAGUCACGCGUGGGAACGUGGCGUUCGGUUCGGACUAACUAAGGGAAACUUGAGCUAAUACCGGAAACGUGCGAGAGCAGAAAAGUUUUUAAGACGAGGGUUCGGGUCGCGUCUGAUAAGUGCGUUGGUGAGGUUACAGCUCACCAAGGCUAAGAUAAGUAGCUGGUCAGAGGGAAUGGUCAGCCACACUGGGAGUGGGACACGGCGGGGACUCUUGCGGGAGGCAGCAGUGGGGAAUAUUGGACGACGGGGGCAACCAUGAUGCAUCCAUGUCGCGAGAGUGAUUUCGGACUGAAGGAUGUAAAGCACUUUUCUCCGGGACGAUAAUGACGGUACCGGAGGAAUAAGCCCCGGCUAACUUCGUG
rnacentral:rRNA from 1 species